GACGAACGCUGGCGGCGUGCCUAAUACAUGCGAGUAGAACGCUGAAGGAGGAGCUUGCUUCUCUGGAUGAGUUGCGAACGGGUGAGUAACGCGUAGGUAACCUGCCUGGUAGCGGGGGAUAACUAUUGGAAACGAUAGCUAAUACCGCAUAAGAGUAGAUGUUGCAUGACAUUUACUUAAAAGGUGCAAUUGCAUCACUACCAGAUGGACCUGCGUUGUAUUAGCUAGUUGGUGAGGUAACGGCUCACCAGGGCAACGAUACAUAGCCGACCUGAGAGGGUGAUCGGCCACACUGGGACUGAGACACGGCCCAGACUCCUACGGGAGGCAGCAGUAGGGAAUCUUCGGCAAUGGACGGAAGUCUGACCGAGCAACGCCGCGUGAGUGAAGAAGGUUUUCGGAUCGUAAAGCUCUGUUGUAAGAGAAGAACGAGUGUGAGAGUGGAAAGUUCACACUGUGACGGUAUCUUACCAGAAAGGGACGGCUAACUACGU
rnacentral:rRNA from 1 species